rnacentral:rRNA from 1 species
CCUACGGGAGGCAGCAGUGAGGAAUAUUGGUCAAUGGGCGCGAGCAUGAACCAGCCAAGUCGCGUGAGGGAUGACGGUCCUACGGAUUGUAAACCUCUUUUGCCGGGGAGCAAGCGUGAGGGCGUGAACGCGCGUCGAGAGUACCCGGAGGAAAAGCAUCGGCUAACUACGUGCCAGCAGCCGCGGUAAUACGGGGGAUGCGAGCGUUAUCCGGAUUGAUUGGGUUUAAGGGGUGAGUAGGCGGGAUGCCAAGUCAGAGGUAAAAUUGAGAUGCUCAACCUCUUCGAGCCGUUGAAACUGGUUUUCUUGAUUGAGCGAGAAGUAUGCGGAAUGCGUGGUGUAGCGGUGAAAUGCAUAGAUAUCACGCAGAACUCCGAUUGCGAAGGCAGCAUACCGGCGCUCAACUGACGCUCAUGCACGAAAGUGUGGGUAUCGAACAGGAUUAGAUACCCUUGUAGUC